rnacentral:sRNA from 2 species
CCGCACGACGUGCCUGAACUGCACCGAGGAACCGGGGAACCACCACCUUGGGGUGAAUCGGGCGCCUUUCGCCGAAGCCGUCCGUAGGAGACCUUCCUGCUCCGAACCCGUCAGCUAACCCGGUAGGCGCGAAGGAAGGAAAG